CGGAUAGAGCUGACGUAUCUAUCUCGCAUUCAGUUGUUCUCGUGCGUGGUCCUUGCUGGCCGUUCCUUUCGGGGGGCGGUAGGCUUGCGUUUACUGCGUGCUUGGGCAUUGCUUUUGCGAGUGAAGUGCGCUGAGAGGUGCAUCGUAGCAGCUGGAACUUUGCCUUGAGGACCCUUUUCGGAGGGAAACCUAGGCGUAGGAAAGGUUGAUUGCGGUGCACACGAUGGGUAUGGGUUUCGAUCCGAUCGAUGGUGGAGUCUACUGUGAGCUGCGUUCGCUUGCGAACGUUCUUGCGGUGGGCUUGGCUGUAGGUUUGGUUACCAUGCUCAGCCUCGGUGUAAAAGUCGGUCAUCUAUCCGACCCGUCUUGAAACACGGACCAAGGAGUUUAUCAAAUAUGCGAGUCAUUGAGCGUUAAAAACUCAAAGGCGAAAUGAAAGUGAAGGUGCCCUUGAAGGGCUGAUAUGCGAUCCUAAGCAGCAAUGCGAAGGCGUAGCAUAGCCCCAUCCCGAUUGCUUGCAAUGGGGUGGAGGUAGAGCAUAUUUGCUGAGACCCGAAAGAUGGUGAACUAUGCCUGAGCAGGAUGAAGCCAGAGGAAACUCUGGUGGAAGUCCGAAGCGGUUCUGACGUGCAAAUCGAUCGUCUGACUUGGGUAUAGGGGCGAAAGACUAAUCGAACCAUCUAGUAGCUGGUUCCCUUCCGAA
rnacentral:rRNA from 1 species